rnacentral:antisense_RNA from 1 species
UGUGGGAGCUGGCUUGCCUGCGAUAGCGGUGCAUCAGUCAGGACUUUUCUUCUGACAGACAGCCAUCGCAGGCAAGCCAGCUCCCACA